rnacentral:rRNA from 1 species
UACAGAGGGGGGCAAGCGUUGUUCGGAAUUACUGGGCGUAAAGGGCGCGUAGGCGGCCGCCUAAGUCAGACGUGAAAUCCCUCGGCUCAACCGGGGAACUGCGUCCGAUACUGGCAGGCUUGAAUCCGGGAGAGGGAUGCGGAAUUCCAGGUGUAGCGGUGAAAUGCGUAGAUAUCUGGAGGAACACCGGUGGCGAAGGCGGCAUCCUGGACCGGUAUUGACGCUGAGGCGCGAAAGCCAGGGGAGCAAAGCGGG